AGAGCACAAGGCGGAUGCCUUGGCCGCAGAAGGCGAUGAAGGACGUAGUAACCUGCGAUAAGCUUCGGGGAGCUGGUAAACAAGCUUCGAUCCGAAGAUUUCCGAAUGGGAAAACCCAGUAUGCAUAAGCAUAUUAUCUUAUACUGAAUACAUAGGUAUAAGAGGCAAACCUAGGGAACUGAAACAUCUAAGUACCUAGAGGAAAAGAAAUCAACAGAGAUUCCGGUAGUAGCGGCGAGCGAAACCGGACCAGCCCUUAAGCUUAUUUUAGUCCAGCAAAAUAUUCUGGAAAGUUUAGCCAUAGUAGGUGAUAGCCCUGUAUGCGAAAGACUAAUUUAAGUGAAAUCGAGUAGGUCGGGACACGAGAAAUCUUGACUGAACAUGGGGGGACCAUCCUCCAAGGCUAAAUACUCUAUGCUGACCGAUAGUGAACCAGUACCGUGAGGGAAAGGCGAAAAGAACCCCGGCGAGGGGAGUGAAAUAGAACCUGAAACCUUGUGCUUACAAGCAGUCGGAGCAGACUUGUUCUGUGACGGCGUACCUUUUGUAUAAUGGGUCAACGACUUAAUUUCAGUAGCAAGCUUAACCAUUUAGGGUAGGCGUAGGGAAACCGAGUCUUAAUAGGGCGCUCAGUUGCUGGAAUUAGACCCGAAACCGGGUGAUCUAUCCAUGGCCAGUGUGAAGGUCGAGUAACAUCGACUGGAGGCGCGAACCCACUUAUGUUGAAAAAUGAGGGGAUGAGCUGUGGAUAGGAGUGAAAGGCUAAUCAAACCCGGAGAUAGCUGGUUCUCUUCGAAAACUAUUUAGGUAGUGCCUCGUGUAUUACUGUAGGGGGUAGAGCACUGUUUCGGCUAGGGGGUCAUCCCGACUUACCAAACCGAUGCAAACUCCGAAUACCAAUGAGUACGAGCAUGGGAGACAGACUGCGGGUGCUAACGUCCGUAGUCGAGAGGGAAACAACCCAGACCGUCAGCUAAGGUCCCAAAUUAUGAUUAAGUGGGAAACAAUGUGGGAAGGCACAAACAGCUAGGAGGUUGGCUUAGAAGCAGCCAUCCUUUAAAGAAAGCGUAAUAGCUCACUAGUCGAGUCGGCCUGCGUGGAAGAUAUAACGGGGCUAAAUCAUAAACCGAAGCUACAGAUCUUAAAUUUAUUUAAGAUGGUAGAAGAGCGUUCUGUAAGCGGUUGAAGGUAAGCUGAGAGGCGAACUGGACGUAUCAGAAGUGCGAAUGUUGACAUGAGUAACGAUCAAAGAGGUGAAAAACCUCUUCGCCGAAAAACCAAGGGUUCCUGUCCAACGCUAAUCGAGGCAGGGUGAGGCGGCCCCUAAGGCGAGGGCGAAAGCCGUAGUCGAUGGGAAACAGGUUAAUAUUCCUGUACUUUUUAUAACUGCGAUGGGGUGACGGAGAAGGUUAGACUAGCACGGCGACGGUUGUCCGUGUUCAAGGUUGUAGGCUGGUGUUCUAGGUAAAUCCGGAACGCUAAGGCUGAGAACUGAUAACGACCACUCUACGAGUGGGAAGUAGUCGAUACCAUGCUUCCAGGAAAAACCUCUAAGCUUCAGGUUAUAAGAAACCGUACCCUAAACCGACACAGGUGGUUAGGUCGAGUAGACCAAGGUGUUUGAGAGAACUAUGGUGAAGGAACUAGGCAAAAUAGCACCGUAACUUCGGGAGAAGGUGCGCCGCGUUUGGUGAUGAGACUUGCUCUCUAAGCUGAACGUGGUCGAAGAUACCAGGUGGCUGCGACUGUUUACUAAAAACAUAGCACUCUGCAAACUCGUAAGAGGAAGUAUAGGGUGUGACGCCUGCCCGGUGCCGGAAGGUUAAUUGAUGGGGUUAGCUUAGGCGAAGCUCUUGAUCGAAGCCCCGGUAAACGGCGGCCGUAACUAUAACGGUCCUAAGGUAGCGAAAUUCCUUGUCGGGUAAGUUCCGACCUGCACGAAUGGCGUAACGAUGGCCACACUGUCUCCACCAUAGACUCAGUGAAAUUGAAAUCGCUGUUAAGAUGCAGUGUACCCGCAGCUAGACGGAAAGACCCCGUGCACCUUUACUAUAGGUU
rnacentral:rRNA from 1 species